rnacentral:lncRNA from 1 species
AAUAGGUAUCAAAUGGCCUAAUUUGUGCUAAAAAUAGAGUCCAUGUCGCGACGUCAGGAGAUGUUGUUGCGACGAGCUCUAGACUUUAGGCCACGACAUGACGAGGAACUCCGUUGGCAUAACGAGGCCAAUUUAGUAUGUCACGUCGUGAUGAGGAACCCCUCACGUCGUGACGUCAUCUUGAAGUUUUGAAAAUGAUGUAAAUUAGUCCUUAUUCGAUCUCGGGUUAACUUUAGAGUAUACGUAGGCUAGUAUAAGUCCCAUGAGAGGUUGUAUAUCAUGUUUAUUUUUUGAAAUACUUAUGUUUGCAUGAAUUAUACCUUGACUUGAAAGUUAUAUGUUUGUAGUAGCUAUGGUAAUAGAUGUAGCAUCCUGGAGCUUAGGCUUGGCGAUCGAGUUGGGUAAAAGGUAUUACAUUUAGUGGUAUCAGAGCUACAGUUUAGUUUAGUCUAGAACUGAACGUAAAGCGUGCUAAGUUUAGAAAUACAUGCCACAAUAACCUGUGAUAGCGUGAUGCCUUCUGAUCCAAGAUUCUGCUUUUUCUUAUAGAUAAACCUUAUCAAUCGAAUUGAAUCGUGCCGUAUCAGAUAAAGUAGAUAGUAACGUUCAUACUUCUGAUUAGGAAGCUACAAAUAGUAUGCUUAUUUCGCAAAGGUUUAGGAGUAAGGCAAAAGGCGUCUUCUUCCAAAUGAUAAACUAAUGGUUCAAUCAGUUAAAUCGAGCUACCCCUUUAGCUCCACAGUCCCAAAUGCAACCUCCACCCUUAAUCGUGCCUCUUACGACACCCCUUAUCCUCAGAACCCAAAUUCGAUAAAUGUUCAUUGACCCCCGAUUUAUAAAAUUCAAAAGUGUGGGGCUAAAGAAUUUAGAGGUAAAAGGAUGAUAAUCCGACUGAAGUUGAAUAUUGGUUGGAAAAUACUGUGAGGGUGCUCGAUGAAAUGAUGUGUAUGCCGAAAGAUUGCUUGAGAUGUGUUAUAUCAUUACUAAAAGAAGAGGCGUAUUAGUUGUAAUAGCUCGAUUUAGACCCUAGUCGGACAGUGGUUUCGGGACCACAAAUUUGAGUCAGAAAAAUAUUUUAAUAUUAUUUUCCGUGCUUAUAGUAUGUGAAUUGACAUGUGUGAAAUUUUCGUGAAUUAAUUUUAUCGUUUGUGUGCCGAUUUGUGAAAAAGGACUUAAUCGUGUAAAAUGAAAAAGUGGUUAGCUAUUUGUUAAAGUGUUUUAUUAUUAUGAAUUUUCUAAUGUGGGGUCCUUAUAUUGAUAUUUAGCCAUCAGAAUUAUGCAUGGACACAUUUAGACAACCAUUAUAAAAGUUAUAAUUAAAUACUUAAGGUUAAAAUAGUAAAAAGUAAAGUAAUAUGUAAUAAAAUAAAUAAAACAUGUUGGUGGAUGAUAUCCAUAUUGCCGAAUCUUGAAAGAAAAAAAAGAAAGAAAUCAGCAAGCUAGGGUUCAGCCAUUUCAAUAUUUGAUUAAGGUAUGUUAGUUGAUCGGUUUUUGAUAAUUUUUAUGUUUUUAAGAUCGUUGCUUUGUGUUUUAGAUAGCCCAAGCUCUAAUUUUUGGUAUUGUUGAUGAAUUUGAAAUUUGCCAUUGAUGAUAGCUUAUGGUUUUCAUUGUUUGAUGAUGGAAAAUAAAUUUUUGAUGUUUGAUUGUUAUGUUUAAUUAAGUGAUUUUUGAUAAAAAUUCAAAUUAGGGAUUUAUUGGUGAAAUUAGAAAAUUUAAGGGUCAAAAUGGGAAAUAAAUAAAAUUAAUGUGCUGCUAGGGACAUAGGGAGAAUUCAGCCUAACUAGAGUUUAAUGAAAUUUUGAGUAUUUUGUGUUGUUUUGAAAUAGGGACUAAAUUGUGAAAAUUUGAAAUGUUAGGGGCUAAAGUGAAAAAUUCCCAAUUAUGUGUUUUUGGAUGUAAUUGAAGGAAUUUGUAAUUAAAUAAGUUAAAUUUGAAUUGAUUUAGAUCAAGAAAAGAAGAAAUCAGAAUUGGAUCGGAGGAAGUCGAAAGUUGUUGAUUAGUCGUUCUGAUCCAUUCGUGUCAGUACAAGGUAAGUACAUAAGUAAUUAUAUAUCGUUAAAUUUGAAUGAAUAUGUUUUAUAAGUGCCGAAUUGAAUUAAGCAUGGGAGUAUUACUUAUGAGUUUGAAUCGAUCGAAUUACGACGUCCGAAAGCUUAUUUCUAGUUUACACCAUGAAUCCUUUGUUGCCUCAACUGCAUCACAUUUACCUUCUUUUGAUAUACCAACUCGAUAUUUUAAGGAAACAAGCCGUUCGUAUUCUUUGUUCGAGUCUAAGCCGAAACGAACCGCCGUUAAGGCAAGAGGUUGUGGGGUAUAUGUUGGAUAGAGGUUCCCAAAUGUGGAGCCUAAGGAAAGCCAAAGCCAAUUUUCAGAGAGUUUUGGCUACUUUUAAGUGCUUUUCCAAUGCUCGGCAAUGGUUCGAUGAAAUCCGCAAGUGGAAUAAUUCGGCAGCAACUGUUUUAGUCAUGGAGAUCUACUGCAUUAUAGUUUUUAAACCAGAUUUGAUAUUACCAACAAUGACUCUUUAUAGUAUUCAAGUUAGGAUCCUCCAAUGGAGAAAGCGACCGAGGCAUCCAACUCAUAUCGAUGUGAACCUAUCGGUUGCCGGAUCUGUGACAGCCGACGAAUUGGACGAAGAGUUUGAUACUUUCCCAUCUUCAAGACAAUGCGAUGUUCUUCGGAUGAGAUAUGAUAGACUGAGUAGUAUUGCAGGGAGAGUUGUGACAGUGAUCAGUGACAUUGCAACACAAGUUGAGAGGUUUCACUCACUGCUAAACUUGCGUGACCCAAGAAUUACAGUGAUGUUCCUUGUUUGUUGUCUUGUUGGACCCUUUAUGUUAUAUUAUUUAAUUAGUCUUAAGGUUCUUCUUAUUUUUGGAGGAUUUUAUGUAAUGAGGCCUCCAUUUUUAGGAAGAUGUGCUAAAUGUACCCCAGAAUUUCUUCAGUAAGCUACCUACAAAAGCAGAUUACAUGUUAUGAGUACACAGCGCCAAGACUUCUUGUAGGUUAUUUGAGCCAAAAUUCAAUUCAGUAAUUAUAAAUUCAAGUUUGAACAACUCGAUUUAUUAAUCAAAUCAAAUUUGAGUAUUAUAAUACUCGUUUCGAAUGGUUUAAUAGUCUAAUCGAAUUUUUAUUUUUUUAGUAUUUUUAUAUUAUUAAUUUAUAAUUUUAUUAUUGUAUAUACAAUAUUAACCUUAAUUUUCCCUUCUUUUUUCAACCGAAACCUAUGUUCACGGGAAGAGAGCUUAUGUUGGUUUAAACAGAUAAACCCAACUAAUUUGGUUUGAUUUGUCUCAAUUUGAGUGCUUUGGACAGUUCUCUAGUUACAAGAUCCAUCUUACCUGUUAGUUUAUUAGUUAUCAAUUUUUAAAAUUUUAAGCUUGGUUAAAAAAAUCAAUUUAAUUUCAUAUUUUUCAAAUUUUCUAAAGUAUAUUUAUAUUUUAUAAUAUAUAGUAAAUAUAUAUCAUUGAAGCUCGAGUUUGGAGUCGAACUUAGAGAUGAUUAUGGGCCGGAUCGGGCCUCGAUAGAAUUUUAUGACAAGGACCGGUUCGGCCCAAAAAGUGGACUUAAAAUUUUGUCUAAGUUCGGCUCAGAUAAAAAUGUUAAAACCUAAGUCCAGCCUGCUCGUAUCAAAAAAAAAUUAUAUUAUUGUUUUUACAUAAAAACAAAUUUAAAAAAUAUAAUACAUCAAAUACACUAAAAACAUUAAAAUAAAUGUUUCUCAACAAAUUGAAAAUAAAUUAAAAAAUUUUAUUUAUACGUAAAUAACACUAAAAUAAGUGCAACUUAGCAUGCAAAUACUUUUAAAAUAGUAGCAAAAUUAACAAUAAAACAAGAGUUAUACAAUAUCAAAAUAAUAACAACAAAAUAGUAACAAUAUAAUAGCGAAACUGCACCGAAAAAGUGACAAAACAGCAUAAAAAAGCAGCAGGUUUUUUUUUCAGAUUCGAGUCGACCUCGGGCCAAAAAAGCUUACCUAAGGCCCGGCCUGUUUAGAAAACGGGCAUAUCUUUUUUUGCCCAAACCCAUUUUUCGAGCCUAUAUUUUUACCUAAACCAUCUCACUUUUCGAGCAGACAUUCGGGUCGGGACGAAUAGCCCGACCCAUGAUCAAGUCUAGUCUAACUCGAGCCCUAAAUUCCUUCUAUCCAUAAAAAAAUGCAUAUUUUAUUUUCAGUUGGCCCGUAGACUUUUACCUAAUGUGUAAUGUAGUACAAAUUAAAUGUCUAAUUUGAUACACCAUGUUGUCGUGUAUCCAUACGGUCCAAAAUUUUUAACACUAUUUAAUUCAUACACUCACUUCACACCAACAAAUAAAUAGAUACAAUGUAAUUUCUUAUUAUUGGUUUUGAAAUUUACCUAUAAUUUUUACUGGCUACUUACAUUUUUACCAAAUGAUUAAAAUAUUUUAUUUUAUUUUUCUUAUUUCAAUUUUCAAAGGAACAACAAAAUUUUGAAAUAACUUAAAAUUUAAUUAAGUGGUAAAAAUAUAAUCAAUGAAUAAAAAGUUAUAUACAAAAUUCAAAAUCAAAUACAAUGACAUGUUUCAUUUAUUCAUUAUUGUUAAAUCAUCGGUUAAGUUGUAUUAAGGUUUUGGACACGAUCUAAGGUUGUCAGUAUUGUAUUAGUGAGCAUGCCCUUUUUGUUAUAAUAUUAGUAUGUAUCAAUAUUAGUAUAUUUUAAUGUAUUGUUUUGAAUUUAUUAAUAUUUUAAAAUACUUUUCAUAUCUAUGUAAUUUAAUUUAAAUUUCUCAAUAAGUUAUAAGUUAUAUAUACAAACAAAUAAAUCUCAAUUACAUCUAUUUAAAUAUAUUUAUAUGUAAAAAUAAGUUCUAAAUUUAUUAAUUGGUCCAAUAGCUUCACUUUAUUUUAAUUUUAAACGCAAUUAUAAAAAAUUAAAAUGUUUAAGAAAAAAAGUUAAAAGAUAAAUUUUAAUAUUAAAAUUUUGUAGCAACUGAUACAGGCUGGUAUUGGCUAGAAUGGGCCAAAACACAUUGGACCAUGCGAAGCAUAUUGAAAUCUUGACCAAAACGAAACCUAAGUAAAAGACUGAAACAGUAUGGUACCGAUUACUAAAUUCGAUUUUUCUACAGGUACUAAAUUACACAUUAGGUGAAAUUUUGGUGGCUAACAAAGGCAUUAACCCAUUUAGUUUGUUUCAGAUGACUUUAAUUACUGGAUUACCCCCAUUGCACUAUUUAAAAAAAAUGAAAAGUAGAAAAAAAAAGGUUCUUAAUGAAUGCUGAGCCCUCGCUAUUUUCAUUUUAAUUACCAGAUUACCCCCAUUGCACUGUUUAAAAAAAUAAAAAGGAGAAAAAAAAGCUUCUUAAUGAAUGCUGAGCCCUCGCUAUUUUCUUUUCGUCACUUCCGCUCUUCUCUGUUAAAUGUUUCGCCGUCGUUGCCUACCAUCAAUUUGCUAAGGUACACCGGAAACGACUUUCUUUUAUUCUCAUAUAUAGUAAUUUUAUAUUACUUUUUAUAUUUUUUUUCUCGUUUCAUUUCAAGUUUUAGAGUGUUUUAUUCAUUGUUUUUUUUUUGAGUAUUAGUUUGACAAUAAACACAAAGAAAAUGACCAUUUUUGUCCCAUGAUUGAGAUUGUUUAUUAGCUCCUCUUGACCAAUUUAAAGUCCCAUUUUUCUUUGGCUUUUUAUUGUGUCUUUUAAUCAUUUUUCCCUUUCUUUGUAUGGUGGGUUAUUUCUCGUUUCUAAUUUGUUUAUUGUUUUCAUUAUCGUUGCAUGAGUUUAUGAUUCAAAUAUUGAUUCUGAGCAUUGAAAAUUUUCCGAUUAUGUUGAUUUAUUGAUGAAUUAGAAUUGUUAAUGUAGAAAGUUCUGCUAAAAUUUAUAAAAUAAUGAUGCUGUUUGUACAACUAAAACACAUAUUUAAUGGAAAAAGCAGCAUGGAAACCCUUUUGCCCCUGUACAUUAAAUCAAAGAGUAAACUAGGCCUUUUAGUCAAAAUUUUAUUUUUCAUCUAAAGUGGUUGACAGAAUAACCAGACAAUUACAUUUGAUGCGUUACAUGUACCUUAUUUUGAUGUAUAGGAACAAUUUUUUAAUAGCAGAAAUGAAUAAAAAUUUUAACACAAGGACCAAUUUGCUCUUUGAUUUAAAGUACAAGGAUUAAUUUGCUCAUUUUUUUAGUAGAAGAGGCAAAAAGCAAUCUAUCUUCUACUACAAGGGCUUCCAUGGUACUAUUACCUUGAAAGCAACAUUUUAAAAUGAAUGAAAUAUAAUUUCUGAUAAUGGAGGGGUAUAAAUGUGUUUUUCCCCCUUUUUCGAUCAAAAGAAAAUAGAUUGACGAUGGGAUUACCAAAUGCGAGCGAUGACUUGUCAACUGAAGUUGAGGUAGAUGCUUUCAGACGCCUCUUUCCCCUUCGUUUCUAUGAGAAACAUCUUUUAAAGUCUAUACGUCCUGAUGCUCGUCCGCUUGGAAGAGCAAGAGAAACCACCAUUGGCCUUGGUUAGUAAAAGAAAAAGGAUAUAACUAUGAAACUUUUAUGUGACAUAAUAUUUCUUCAUACUUGGAUCUGAUUCCUUUAAUAUCCAGGGGCUGUUGCAUCUGCUAAUGGUUCAGCACUUGCAAAAAUUGGUUCAACUGUAAGUUUGUCACUUUCUCUUAAUACAUAUACUGCUUUGAUUUGGCAAGCAAUUAAGCUUGGAGUUUAAUAAUUAAUUCCUUGCAUGGAAUAGACUAUGUUGGGUGCUAUAAAAAUGGAGGUCAUGACCCCUUCAUUGGAAACACAGGAUGAGGGUUGUAUAGGUUUGCUACCGUUAACUGCACGCUUUCCUGUUUCUCUUUCUCUUCUUAAAACGUAUCUCUUAUCUCUCGUACUUUAUCAUAAUUUCUUUUUCAUUUUUAGCGAUUUAUUUCCACAUGCCUCCAAUUUGUUCUCCAGUUGUUAGGCCUGGCAGACCGGCUGAGGGAGCACCAGUCGUUGCAAAGCAAUUGUCAGACACUAUUUUAAGGCAUGCCAAUUUAGUUCCUUGAUUGUUUAUUGAUGCUGAGAUGCACUCUAUUAAGCCUGUUAAUUUACUUGUAGUUGUGACGUGUGAUGUUUAUCUGUGCUGUAAUUCUUUAGAAUGUAAAGUCUGCAAUUUGUUCUCUCAUCUUUGUGUCGAUUCAAUCAUUAUCUUCCUCUUCGCCUCUGUAUUUACUUAUGAUUAUUGAUGUGAUUAUUGAUGUGGAUUCAAUUUGUUCUCCCUCUUGCUUCUUACUGCUUGCUGAAGCACUCUGGCCAGUUAUUUUAUCUAAAUUUGUUGGUGGUUUCGAUUCUUUUGAAUCUCUUUACACUUAUAAAUGUUCUAUUUCAAAACUGUUCCACUUUGAAUCCUUUUCUUUCUGUUAUGUUCUCAAACAACUUGUCAUGUGUAAUUACAGCUCUGGCAUGAUCAAUUUGAAGGAACUGUCCUUCGUUAGUGGAAAAGCUGCUUGGAUGGCAUAUUUGGUACGUGAUUGCGGUUUUAGAAUAUCAUAAUUAUCCGUCUUAGGACUUUCAAGUUGUGUAAGAGUUCAAACAUAAGCCAUCUAGCGUUCAUGCAAGUUGAUAUGGAAAUUCAAGUAAUACCAUAGUGCCUUUGUUCUCCUUGAAUAUGGAAGUAACAUAGUAUUCUGUUUUUUCAGGACAUAUACUGUUUGGAUGCUGAUGGUGCUACUUUUGACACUGCAUUACUCUCAGCUGUUGCUGCCUUUUCUCAUUGUAAGUGUUUCUCUCAUUUUCAUCAAAUAUUAUAACAUCAAUUCACCAUGCCACUAAAUAUGAUGAUACUUGCCAAAAACAACCAACCUCUUCCAUGAGAAAGAAGAUUGACAAUGAGAGGGAAAAGAAAAUUUGCGAUGGUAAAAUUGCUUUGUUCUUUUAAAGAGAAAAAUGUAUGACCGCCUGAGGAAUUCCUCUGGUGUAAAUUAAAUUAAAAGUAGCAUAAAUUAUCCCAAAAACUCGAGCUAAUUUAAAACAUCUAUUGUCUUGGAUCGAGAGAACAGAAGCUCGAUGUCUUUUAAACCAAACCAACUUGGACGGGCAUCUCGAAUAUAAACACCUCUAGACUCAACCCAUAAGCACUUAAUUACAACGAGAGUAAAUUGCAUCAGAGGUCCCCAAACUAUGAUUCUCAUUUUCCAUGGGUUUCAAAUUUUAAAAAAUUUUGAUUAUAUCUCCUAAUUUUCAAGGUUAUGUCAAUUAAGUCCUUUCAUUACUAAACUUGUUAAAUUCGCUAUUGAACAAAAUGACACUUUACUUUUUAAAUUUUAAAUUAUGUCAAAUAGGAUCUAAUAUGUUGCUUAACAACGAACUUAAUGGUUUUAGUAUCAUAGGGACUUAAUUAACAUAAUCUUAAAAGUUUAAGGAUAUAAUUAGAAUAUUUUAAAGUUUAACAAUUAAUUUAAAAUAAGUUAUAGUUUAGGAGCCUCUAGUGCAAUUUACUCUUUUAACGAGCUACAUCUAUGAAUGACUAAGAUUUCUUAUUAGUAGCGUGUCAAAAUUUCACUAAUUGUGUUCUAAAAUCAUUUAAAACAAAUAAAAGAAUUGUUUAAAAGAUCAAAGAUUUCGACUUUUGAUUUAAUAUUUAAUGGCGAUUUUCACUAUUUUUAUUUAAAAAAAAACAAUUUAAUUUUACAUGUUUUUCAUACACGAUCUUCCUCUUCUUCAUUAGUAUCGUCCUUAAAACUGAUCCAAUCCAAAUCCAAAUCCAAAUCCAAAAAACCCAAAGUAAAUAUAUGGAGCUACGAACAUUCCAUCAUCAUCUUCUUCAAGUGUUUAUGUUAUUAUCUUUGAUAAGCAAUUGUUACGCGAGAUUCGUGGUGGAAAAGAACAGCUUGACGGUAACAUCGCCGGAGAAGAUUAAAGGAACCCAUGAUAGUGCGAUUGGGAACUUUGGGAUACCUCAAUAUGGUGGAAGCAUGGCUGGUGUUGUGGUUUACCCUGAAGAAAACCAAAAAGCUUGUAAAAGCUUUGAUGACUUUUGGAUUUCGUUUAAAUCCAAGCCUGGUUCUCUUCCUACCUUUGUUUUGGUCGAUCGUGGAGGUACUCUAUUUUUUUUCCUCAAAAUUUUCGCCUUAUAAGAAAAAUUAAUCUGUGGUUUUGUUUAUUUGAGCUAUAAUUUGUUUGUUGUAGGGUUGAACGAUGAGGAAUUUUUGUGUUGUUUUAGCUAAUUUGAGUAAUUCCAAAUUGGGGAAUUUUUAAUAUUAGGUUUAAAGUUCAAUUUGUUGGAUUUGGUUUAUUUAUGGGGCAAUAAUUUAUUUGUUAGUUUGGGAUUUGAGGGUUAAUUGAUUUGGUUUUUCCAUCUACUUGGAUUUAUGUUAUUAUUUUUUAACUAAUUCAUUUAAAUAAAUUUAGCUUUAUCAGUUUCCAUUGAUUUCAUUAUCAUUAUUUAUAUAUUUAUUCAUUCAUUUAUGUAUUAAUAUACUUGUUUUCAGCUUUGCUUUAAGUUGUUUGGACGGAUGUCUUUUUCUCUUUUUAUCUUACUAGUUGUUUUCUGAAAUUAGGUCCACUCUUUUAGCUUCAUUUCCCUCCUUUCAUAGGGAUAUAGCCUUAGAGGUGUCUACAAAAGUAGAGCUAAGUUUCUCUGAUUCUUGGUUUUGCUUUAAGUACCAGUUUUAGACUCAAUAUCCGAACAUGUGUACGGUGAUAUGAUUUUUCAAAGAUCCUUCUAAGUAACAUGGGCGAGAGCUAGGCUUUUAGAAAUCCAGUGUAGUGUUUCAACUUACUGUCCAGUUGUUAUUUGAAACACCAGUGAUGGCGGUUACUUUUUUCACAGAUGUGGAGACGAAUGAAUGCUUGGAAAAUAAUGGUGGUUGUUGGCAAGAUAAAACAGUAAAUCUCACAGCCUGCAGGGUAUGAAUCAAAACAUAUUUGAUAGGGGUUCUCUACUCCAUGAGCUUAUUUGAAUAUAUUGAUUUGCUUCUUAGGAUACAUUUCGAGGAAGAGUUUGUGAAUGCCUCUUGGUUGAUGGUGUGCAAUUCAAAGGAGAUGGAUACAGUCACUGUGAAGGUGAGAAUCAAGAUUUUAUUUGCACGGAUUAAGUGUUCAUUUGUGAUUCAUGUCUUAUGAGAAAGAAGAUUGACAAUCAGAAUAUUUGGGAUGGUUAGGAAGAAUUUAGAUUGUUAGGAAGAAUUCUAAAAAAAGGACAAGACAUUAAAGCAUUUUCCAUGUAGUUUGGCAUGACAAAUCCAUUUCAUGUUACUUUUGAUUACUUAUAGAAAUGUUCUCUUAAUUUUUCAUUCAAUCAAAUUUUGGAAUUAUAGUUUGGCAUCUUAAUUUUACAUUCAAUAGGGCAGUUUGACAUGACAAUCAAAGUCUAUAUAAAACCUAUAUAAAGCAAUGCAAAGCAAUCGUCAACAAAUCAGAUCAAAUAUAUACAUAAUGUGGGAGAAAUCAUGGUUGUUGAUGUUCUGUUUGCUGUUGUUGAUUCUUGUUAGGCCCUAACGUCAAGUUGUUACAGCACUCGCCCCCGUUGGAUUUGGGUAUGCGUUUUGUGGAACUAGUUGCGUAGCCAACGGAACUUCCCUUAGGGAUGGUAUUCAACGUUGCCUAGUUUCAGAAGCACUAAUGGAGACUCUGGAGGAAACCCACCUCACGAGCAGUUCCGUAUUCUGCACGGUUGGGUUUGCUACCAUGACACGUUCGAGGCUAAGCAGCCAAGGGAGGAUGCCUGCUAAUUUUUCUUUUUUUUUCUUUUAUAUUAAUAUUUGAUGGUAAGUACGUAAGUAUAUUAACUUCACGAUUUGUUUUGUUUUUGUUAGUUGCUAGGGAAGUUGCAGGCUGCGUCAAUACUUGUGUAGGGAGAUGCGCCAUGAAGAACUGAUGAUAAUCACCUAUGCACGAAAUUAUAAUAAAAUGCCUUUAAUUACAUUUAGCCUGAAUGAAAAAAAAAACAUAAUUUGGUUGCUGUUGUAUUUUCAGUUUUAUAUUUACAAGUGAACAUAGAUUUAGAGUGUAUGAUUUGAGUUUGGUUGGUUCUUAAACAGAUGGAUGAUAAUAAAAAUGAGUUUCAAAAUAAUGGUGAUCUAAGCAUUUCGUAGUAAUGGCUUAUAGUUACCUACGGAUUAGAUAAUUCAGUUACAUUACUACAAUGCUAUUACGCUGUUAAUGAUCCUCUGGAUAUCCGUUUGAAGUACCCGUUUUAGACUCAAUAUCCAAACACGCACAUGGGGACUCAUGACUUUUCAAAGAUCCUCCAGAUACAUGAAAAACAAAAACGAACAUAUUCGUGUUAAACAUGUGCCUACAUUUGAAACUCAUACCCGAGUUCGAGUGAACAUAGAUUUAGAGUGUGUGAUUUGAGUUUGGUUGGUUCUCAAACAGAUGUAUGGUGAUAAAAAUGAGGUUCAAAAUGCUGGUUGAUCUAAGCAUUAGGUAGUAAUGGCUUAUAGUUACGUCCGGAUUAGAUAAUUCAGUUACAUUACUAUAAUGUGAUUACACCUUGUUAAAGAGAUGAGAAAAAUCUAUAGUGUUGCCUAUAUACGGACUCCAGUUGCUGCUAAGGUUGUAAAAUUUGCUUAUUGUCCUUGAUUGAGUUAUGGUCUUAGAUGUAAUUUUUCUUUCGUUUUUGAUAUGUAUAUAUAUAUUUGCGGAGACUGCAUUUAGCGCAUUUUUUCUUAUUAUUUUUCUAGAUUGCUUCUUUGCUUUAAAGGUUUGGAAUGUACGGCAAGCAGGUGCUUCUGCAAUGCUUGUUGCGGAUGAUAUUGAAGAAGCAUUAAUAACCAUGGACAAUCCUGAAAAGGACAGUUCAUCUGCCAAAUACAUUGAAAAUAUAACAAUUCCAUCUGCCCUUAUCGAGAAAACUUUUGGUAAAACUCUAACCCUGAUGAUCGUGACGAGUACGAGUUAUGGACCAACAGCAAUGAUGAAUGUGGAGUUAAAUGUGAUAUGCUGAUGGCAUUUGUGAAGGAUUUCAGGGGUGCUGCUCAGAUUCUCGAAAAAGCUGGCUAUACGCACUUCACACCCCAUUAUAUAACUUGGUACUGCCCUCAAGCUUUCACCCUAAGCCGACACUGCAAAUCUCAAUGCAUCAACCGCGGAAGAUACUGUGAAGGUGAGAAUCAAGAUUUUAUUUGCACGGAUUAAGUGUUUACUUCGAAGGUAUUGUUUAAAAUAUGAAGUUAAAGAUUUAGUGUUCAUUUGUGAUUCAUGUCUUAUGAGACAGAAGAUUGACAAUCAGAAUAUUUGGGAUGGUUAGAAAGAAUUUAGAUUGUUAGGAAGAAUUCUAAAAAAAGGACAAGAUAUUAAAGCAUUUCUUUUGGCAUGACAAAUCCAUUUUGUCGAAACUAUUUUUUUGAAAAAACAAAAAUUUUAGGUUGUCGACUUUAAAAAAUGAAAAUUGGGAGUCGCCACCAAUCUUUUAUUAAGGUGUGAUUGAAUCACCUAAAAAAACGGCUUUGGUCUACGAGUUUUAGAAAAACGGAUCCGGAAGUCAGUUACGUUCGAGGAAGGAUUAGCACAUUCGUAAUGCUCAAAAAUUGGUACCUAAUUAAUUAAUUAAUGUCUUAAUGUCGAAAAUUUGAAAAAUAUAAUCCUUAGCAAAAACUCUUAAACGUUACGUAUUAAGACCCUUAUCAUUUCAGAGAAAGAAAAUGCCACAACCAAUGCGUUAGGGCACGACAUUCUAAUUUCCUCAAAAAUGAAUUAGGCCAGAAUACUUGUGUAAUAAAAAUUUAAAAGAAUAUCCAUUUAUUCAAGAUUUAAAAAAUCGCGGCCCAAUACGUUAGGGCACAAUUCCUCCAAAAUCCCAAACUCGGAAUAUUUCCUUUAUUAUUUUUAGAAAAAAUCUUCAUUUCGAGAAAUCAAUGCGUCACAUCCAAUACGUUAGGACACAAUGUGUUGAAUUCCCAAUAAUGAGUUCUUAUUUUUUGAUUAAAGAGAAAUGCUCGAUUGUUAGAUUUAACGAAGAAAAUCGGAACCCAAUACGUUAGGGCUUAAUUUCCUUGAAAAUCCUAAAUACAAGCAUUAUCUCAAUUUUGAAAAGUCCUUUUUUUUUUAAAUUUGAAUAAGAAGAUGAUGUAAUGUGAUAUUGAAUGUGUGUAAUAAUGUCGCAAUAACAAGUACAACAAUCUUGCACCAUAUUGGCAAUCGAAAGGUAAUGAAUUAAAAGCUAAUUUUCAAAAGAAAUAAAUCCUACGUGAAAUAAUAAUAUCUUGAUAAACUUUUAACUAAACAUUAUAUACGAAAAAAAAGUGAUAUAUGUAAAAUACGUAUAUUUAGAAAAGUAGAUGACUUAAUAAUAAUAUACAAUAGUAUAUGUAAAAAAUAAUUUGAUGUAAACGAAAUACAUUAAAAUAGGUAAAAUAUAAUAAAAUAGUUUUUUUUAAGAGGAAAGUUAUAUAUGGUAAUAAGACAAAAAUGAAAUCUAUAAUUUAUAACAAGAAUAAUUUAAUAUCAAUCAUGUAUAUAUACAAAGCAUGGUAUCGUAAAAAAAUAUUAUUAUAUAAAUCUAUUAAAAUAUAGAAACCUAUUUAAAUGAAUAAAAAAAUAAAACCAAAAUCGUUGAAGAUAUACCAUAUUUGGAGGCAAAUAUAUAAAAGGAAUAGGAAAAAUAUAUUUAUGAAAUUAAAUAAUGACAUAUAAUAGUAAUAUAAAAAAAAUACAUAGUAAGAUAAAACUAUGCGCAUGAAAUUUAAGUAAAUUGAUAAGAAGAAAUAAUGAAAAUAAUAAUAACAAUAAUAGUACAAAUAAUAAUAGGAUUAAUAAAUAAUAAUAAUAAAUUAAUUAGUAAAAGCACAAAUACAAAAGGGAUUAAAUUGCAACUAAAACAGAAUUAGAGGGAAAAAAAAUGAAGGGCCCAAUUAAAAGGCGCGAAUAAUUCAUAGGCCUCAAAUGGGAAAAUAUCCCCAUUCUUUGAAACGCGUCCCUUUAUUAGGGCUAAAUAAAAAAAUAAAUAAAAUUUGCAGUGCUAUCACCUUCUCCCCUUUUUUUAAAAUCGUAAAUAAGUAAAAAAUAAUCGAAAAAGAAAAAAAACCAGUAAGCCACAUUUAAAAAACUGCCAAUCGUUCUCUUUUUUUAUUGAUUUUUUUUCUCCCUUUUAAAUGAAGGGAGAGACCUCUAUUUAUAGCUGAGCCUCCCCAAAUCCAACGGCACAGAUCAAUUACAUCAACGGUGAAGAUUAAAGGGUAUCUACAAAUUAAAUCUCUAAGAUUACAAAAUCACAUCUUCUAAGAUUACAUAUCAUAUCUAAGAUUGCAUAUAUCAUAUCUAAGAUUGCAUAUCCUCGAAGAUUAUGUUUCCAUAUGUGAGUCCGAGUACCUUCGAGUUAACGUAAUUCAAGCAUGAGAUUUAGUCCUAGAAAGCAAUGAUCGAAAUCCCCAAGUUUAUGUUAAGGCUGUAGUUGGGGAUGUGAUAUUGAGGUUCAGAGUUUCCCUUGAUAAGAAUGUGAAUCCUCAAUGGAAUGAGGAUUUGAUGUUCGUUGUUGCUGAGCCAUUUUUCGAUUCUUUAAUAGUAACGGUCGAGGGUAGGCUCGAAAAUAAUACAGUCUGAUGUUUAGGGAAGUGCGUGAUUCGUUUAUCGAAUGUUGAACAGAGGCUACUACCUUUACCAGUUGAUCCAUUGUGGUACACUCUUGAGGACAUUGUAUUUGAAGACGAAAUGGAGAAAGAGGUGAAUUUCUUUAGUAAGCUUAACAUGUGUGUAAGUUUUAAUGGCGGAUAUCUUGUGUUCGAUGAAUCUGUUCACAACGGAAGCGAUUACCGGCCUAUUGCAAAAAUGUUGUGGACGGCUAUGAUCGGAGUUUUGGAGUUGGGGAUCAUAAACGCUUCCGGUUUACAACCAAUGAAGUUAAGAGACGGUCGUGAAAUGACCGAUGCUUAUUACGUGGCGAAAUACGGCCUAAGUGGGUCAAGACUCGGACAGUUGUUGACAGUUUCGAUCCAAAAUGGAAUGAACAGUAUAGUUGGGAUGUUUAUGACCCAUAUACCAUGCUUACCAUAGGAGUUUUCGAUGACUGUCACUUGCAUGGUGGCGAUGCAGUUGGAGAUGGAAAAGAUUCGAGUCUCGGAAAGGUACGAAUUCAAUUUUCAACUCUUGCAACGAACAAGAUUUACACAUAUUCUUAUCCCCUUUUGGUGUUACAACCCAAUGGAGCGAAAAAAAUGGGAGAACUUUAGCUAUCAAUAAGAUUUACUUGCUCAUCUUACUUGAGCUUAUUUCUGGUUUACACCAUGAAUCCUUUGUUGCCUCAAAUGCAUCAUAUUUACUCUCUUUCGAUAUACCAACUCGAUAUUUUAAGGAAACAAGCCGUUCGUAUUCUUUGUUCGAGUCUAAGCCUAAACGAACUGCCGUUAAGGCAAGAGGUUGUGGAGUACAUGUUGGAUGGAGGUUCCCAAAUGUGGAGCCUAAGGAAAGCCAAAGCCAAUUUUCAGAGAGUUUUGGCUACUUUUAAGUGCUUUUCCAAUGCUCGGCAAUGGUUCAAUGAAAUCCGCAAGUGGAAUAAUUCGGCAGUAAUUGUAUUAGUCAUGGCGAUCUACUGUAUUAUAGUUUUUAAACCAGAUUUGAUAUUACCAACAGUGACUCUUUAUAGUAUUCAAGUUAUGAUCCUCUAUUGGAGAAAGCGACCGAGGCGUCCAACUCAUAUCGAUGUGAACCUAUCGGUUGUCGGAUCUGUAACAGCCGACGAAUUGGAUGAAGAGUUUGAUACAUUCCCAUCUUCAAGACAAUUCGAUGUUCUUCAGAUGAGAUAUGAUAGACUGAGAAGUAUUGUGGGGAGAGUUGUGACAGUGAUCAGUGACAUUGCAACACAGGUUGAGAGGUUUCAUUCACUGCUAAACUGGCGUGACCCAAGAAUUACAAUGAUGUUCCUUGUUUGUUGUCUUGUUGGAUCCUUCAUGUUAUAUUAUUUAAUUAGUCUUUAGGUUUUUCUUAUUUUUGGAGGAUUUUAUGUAAUAAGGCCUCCAUUUUUAGGAAAAGAAGUGCUAAAUGCACCCUAGAAUUUCUUUAGUAGGCUACCUACAAAAGCAGAUUACAUGUUAUGAGUACACAACGC